rnacentral:tRNA from 1 species
ACCUGAGUGGCUCAGUUGGUUGAGCGUCCGACUUUGGCUCAGGUCAUGAUCUCAUGGUUUGUGGGUUCAAGCCCCGUGUCAGGCU